rnacentral:rRNA from 1 species
AGUCGAACGAUGAACCACUUCGGUGGGGAUUAGUGGCGAACGGGUGAGUAACACGUGGGCAAUCUGCCCUUCACUCUGGGACAAGCCCUGGAAACGGGGUCUAAUACCGGAUACCACUACCGCAGGCAUCUGUGGUGGUUGAAAGCUCCGGCGGUGAAGGAUGAGCCCGCGGCCUAUCAGCUUGUUGGUGAGGUAAUGGCUCACCAAGGCGACGACGGGUAGCCGGCCUGAGAGGGCGACCGGCCACACUGGGACUGAGACACGGCCCAGACUCCUACGGGAGGCAGCAGUGGGGAAUAUUGCACAAUGGGCGAAAGCCUGAUGCAGCGACGCCGCGUGAGGGAUGACGGCCUUCGGGUUGUAAACCUCUUUCAGCAGGGAAGAAGCGAAAGUGACGGUACCUGCAGAAGAAGCGCCGGCUAACUACGUGCCAGCAGCCGCGGUAAUACGUAGGGCGCAAGCGUUGUCCGGAAUUAUUGGGCGUAAAGAGCUCGUAGGCGGCUUGUCACGUCGGGUGUGAAAGCCCGGGGCUUAACCCCGGGUCUGCAUUCGAUACGGGCUAGCUAGAGUGUGGUAGGGGAGAUCGGAAUUCCUGGUGUAGCGGUGAAAUGCGCAGAUAUCAGGAGGAACACCGGUGGCGAAGGCGGAUCUCUGGGCCAUUACUGACGCUGAGGAGCGAAAGCGUGGGGAGCGAACAGGA